CUCGUUGGUUCAGGCACUAUAAAUACCUGGUUAGGCUUCGGUUAGUUUGGUUUAAAACACGCCCCUUAACAACAGUAACCCUGUUCUUCUACUGAUGCUGUAAAGCAGGAAGGACACGGGCUGGGUCAAUGAGCCAGGCCAGCACUAAUUGACACCCCCGGGAUGAGAUGAAGCUGUGUGUCCACACAUCUCAGGUUGUACUGAAAAAAUAAUAUGAGGUGCUUGCUUGUGUGUUGCAUUACUUAAUUUAUACAAAAACAACAUUUAAUGAAAAACAAGGAGCACGAACCUGGAGAGCUAAUGAAAGUGAGACGAUUGUACAGAUGUGUAAAGUUAAAACAUCAGUUUUAGACACCGGAUGUACCGAGCCACUUUCAGCAGGAGACGAAGUGGAAUAUGGACAGCCUGACGGCGGGGAUUCUUCAUGUCGAUGUCAAUUAAGAACCAGAGUGCGUGCGUGUGUGUGUGUGUGUGGGUGUGUGUGUGGGUGUGUGCAGAGUUGUGUCAAGGCUUUUCGUCUGGAGGAGGAUCAUUCAUCUCCUGAGUGUCGACAGCAGAUGUCAACCUCUGUAUUGUGACUCACGGUCUUUGUGUUGCUUCGGUGAGAACAGCAGUAAAGGGCAGCUGGAUUCUGAUAUACUGUCUGACAUAGAAGUAAAGUGUAAGGAUCGUGGGCUCGCUGUGUGGACCGGACAGAUGGUUUUCAGCCACGCUUGGAGGACCUGGAGGGAGAAACGGAGCGCGGCAGCCGCCCCCGUCCUCUAUCGUCUCCAGCAGCUCCUCUGUGGUUUCUCUUCUUCGGGAUUUCGUUGUAUUUGAUUUUUUGGCUUCGUGAUUUCGUGUUUCUCUCGCUGCCUGCUCAGUGCUGUCACUGUCUGUGUCUGUUUAUUUUGUUUGAUGCUCGAUGACUGAAAAGCACUUUGGGUCACCUCCUCAUGUUUUCAUGUGCGCUGUAAAAAACAUUACCUGACGUCUUGUCCACGUGCACGAUCGGCGUUGUGUCGAUUCAACGUUCUCUUCCUGUUUAUCUUUUCCUAUUUAGUAUUUCCCUCUUUAUAUUUUUGCACAUGAUGCUUUUUAAUUUCACAGUUUUCUGGUUAUGAAACCAGACAAAAUAUUUAAAUCCAACCCCCCCGUCAUUUCAAACUAGCUCUGCUGCCUACAGUGUUGUCCUUUCACUGAGGGCUUCAUAGCACAAGGAAAACAAACUUUCAGUCCACUUAUUUCCAUAUUUCACAGAAUAAAAUAAAAGUGAAGACCUGUCUCUGACUCAUGCAAGAUUUCUGCACAUUUCUCCUGUUUACAUGAUUUUAGAAUAUCUCUCUCAGUAAAUUGUGAGAUAUCACCCCCUCCUUCCUGAACCAGAGACAAACAGAAAGAAGGAGGAGGAACCAGACAAAGAGACCGAGGAAGGCUGACGCGUAGCGAGGAGGAGUGAGAAACCAUAAAAUUCAACCUGAAGCUUGAGGCGGGUUUGGUCCUCAAAACUGAAAAUAUCCAAGUCAACUUCAUCACAUUUCCUAUGCACACAGCAUUACAGCAGUUUGAUGUUAAGGUAGCUCAGAGAAGCACAUUUUACCUGCAGCUGGUAACCGAAAUCAUUAGCGGUGCUCCCGCUGAGCUAAGCUCGGUAUUUCACCGAGCAACGGAGAGAGAGUAUCAGAAUGCAGCUGUUUGGCGUAACGUCUCAGGAAAGCUGGGAUAGCGAUCAGUUAACCUCCUGCUGAUUAAAUACAAUUAUUUGCUUUUCCAAAAGCUUUGAGUUGGAACCGAGAAGAUCACCUGAAUAUGUAAAAAAAAUCUAUCAGUGCAUGAACAGAAAAUGGAUUCUGAGGCA